rnacentral:rRNA from 1 species
CAGCCCUAAACGAUGCGCGUUAGGUGUAUCGGUGACCACGAGUCACCGAGGUGCCGAAGGGAAACCGUGAAACGUGCCGCCUGGGAAGUACGGUCGCAAGGCUGAAACUUAAGGGAAUUGGCGGGGGAGCACCACAACGGGUGGAGCCUGCGGUUUAAUUGGACUCAACGCCGGGAAGCUCACCGGAUAAGACAGCGGAAUGAUUGCCGGGCUGAAGACCCUGCAUGACCAGCUGAGAGGAGGUGCAUGGCGUGUGACUGU